GCCCGAUUAGCUCAGCUGGUUAGAGCGUCGUACUAAUACUGGUUACCCCUAUAUUUGGUAUGCGAAGGUCAACAGUUCAAUCCUGUUAUUGGGCA